rnacentral:lncRNA from 1 species
AGAUACAAUUUCUGCCAUUUACCAGGAAGAACUAGGGGAACCAGGAGAAGGGCCACCUGCUUGGGGCGGGCCGCCCAUCGUCUGAGAUGUGGGGAGCUCCUCUGCCCCGCCGCCCUGUCUGGGAUGUGAGAAGCGCCUCUGCCCGGCCGCGACCCCGUCUGGGAUCUGAGGAGUGUCUCUGCCCGACCGCCACCCCAUCUGGGAGGUGAGGAGCGUCUCUGCCCGGCCGCCCCGUCUGAGAAGUGAGGAGCCCCUCCGCCUGGCAGCCGCCCCAUCUGGGAAGUGAGGAGCGUCUUGCCGGG